UACGGAGGGUGCAAGCGUUAAUCGGAAUUACUGGGCGUAAAGCGUGCGUAGGCGGUUCGUUAAGUCUGUUGUGAAAGCCCCGGGCUCAACCUGGGAAUGGCAAUGGAUACUGGCGAGCUAGAGUGUGUCAGAGGGUGGUGGAAUUCCCGGUGUAGCGGUGAAAUGCGUAGAGAUGCGGAGGAACACCGAUGGCGAAGGCAGCCCCCUGGGCUGACACUGACGCUCAGGCACGAAAGCGUGGGGAGCAAACAGG
rnacentral:rRNA from 1 species